rnacentral:rRNA from 1 species
AUGCGGCCAUCGCGGAUCAGGGGCGCGUACAGCGUUGAGAAGUCGUUGCCCGUGACGAUGAUGGGCACGCGGGGGUUCUCCUCCUUGUUGUACAUCCCGGGGAGCUGCACGUUGGUGGGCGCGUCCGCGAUGUUCAUCAGGGUGGCGUUCACCAUCUGGUUGUUCACCGUGUACUGCGUCGUUGAUGAAGAGGCAGCACAUCUUGCCCUUGUUGAUAAUGUCGGCAGCCUCGCGGUACCUCUGCCGGAUCAGCUUCGCCGGCUCGCCGGCGUUGCCGCUCUCCAGCUCACCGGCGCUCAUCAUGAUGGGGUUGAUGCCCAUCUUGGCGAACACCAGCUCGCACUGGAACGACUUGCCCUGUCCCUUGCCUCCCCAGAUGCCCAGGAUGAGAGGAACCUUGAUGUUGGGGAGUGUCAUGAAGUUCUUGGCGAGGUGGACGAUGAGCUUGUCCAUGAAUGCCGGGGCGAUGUAGAGGCCGUCCAUGGUGUUGUCGAAGUCGUACUUCCGCAGGCCCUGGCUGAUGUACUCGUAGGAGCUCAGGAUGGCCUCGUGGAAGCCAUCGUGUCGAUUGUUCACUCCCCGCACCUGACAACUUAA